rnacentral:rRNA from 1 species
AGCUCCAAUAGCGUAUAUUAAAGUUGUUGCAGUUAAAAAGCUCGUAGUUGGAUCUCAGGUGCAGGCUCGCGGUCCACCUUGCGGUGGUUACUGCCCGUCCUGACCUACCUCCCGGUUUUCCCUUGGUGCUCUUGACUGAGUGCCUCGGGUGGCCGGAACGUUUACUUUGAAAAAAUUAGAGUGUUCAAAGCAGGCAAUUUGCCUGAAUAUUCGUGCAUGGAAUAAUGGAAUAGGACCUCGGUUCUAUUUUGUUGGUUUUCGGAACUUGAGGUAAUGAUUAAGAGGGACAGACGGGGGCAUUCGUAUUACGGUGUUAGAGGUGAAAUUCUUGGAUCGCCGUAAGACGAACUACUGCGAAAGCAUUUGCCAAGAAUGUUUUCAUUA